AUACAGAGGGUGCAAGCGUUAAUCGGAAUUACUGGGCGUAAAGCGCACGUAGGUGGUUCAUUAAGUCAGAUGUGAAAGCCCCGGGCUCAACCUGGGAACUGCAUUUGAAACUGGUGAGCUAGAGUAUGGUAGAGGUAAGUGGAAUUCCAGGUGUAGCGGUGAAAUGCGUAGAUAUCUGGAGGAACAUCAGUGGCGAAGGCGACUUACUGGACCAAUACUGACACUGAGGUGCGAAGGCGUGGGGAGCAAACAGGAUUAGAAACCCCAGUAGUCC
rnacentral:rRNA from 1 species